GAUGAAGAACGUAGCGAAAUGCGAUAAGUAGUGUGAAUUGCAGAAUUCAGUGAAUCAUCGAAUCUUUGAACGCACAUUGCGCCCUUUGGUAUUCCUUAGGGCAUGCCUGUUCGAGCGUCAUUUAAACCUUCAAGCUAAGCUUGGUGUUGGGUGACUGUCCGCUUCACGGCGGACUCGCCUCAAAAUUAUUGGCGGCCGGUACAUUGGCUUCGAACGCAGCAGAAACGCGAACUCGGGCCCGUCGUAUUGGCUCCCAGAAGCUAUCUUCACAAUUUUGACCUCGGAUCAGGUAGGGAUACCCGCUGAACUUAAGCAUAUCAAUAAGCGGAGGA
rnacentral:misc_RNA from 1 species